rnacentral:tRNA from 1 species
AGGGGUAUAGUAGGAGAAAACGUAAUUCAAAUUUAGAGACGCACCCUGAAAGGUGCCGGGGCUUCUCCCGUUUUCCAGAGACGGGAGAAGA